GUGUACGGAAUAAAAGAAGAUAUAAAAUACAAUCCCUCUUCCCUUAUUUGAAUAUUGGUUUAUCUCGGAAAUGAUUGCGGAACGAGUGGUUGAUUAUUAUCUUUUAUCGCCGCGAGGAAUUGAAGGGAAAACGCGAUACAUUGUUUGUUCAACGGUUACCUACGAGAGCCGCUCGCGUUUUUUUUAAUUCUACGAUUUUAAAUGCGGGGGAAAAAAAUGUGGCGGAGAGAAUGGAUUUUUCUAUCGCUAUACAUUCAUCUUAAGGGCAUGAUCACGUGUCUACAUCUAGUCCAAUCGGAGCACGUAAAACAAUAUCAAAAAAUGGCAAUCCGUAUCUUGCCCUAUUAAUCGCCGAUUCAUCGGGUGAUCACUUGGGAAGUCGGGUCAAGCGAUAAUUUCUACAAAAUCGUCGGUAUUUUGGGAAGCCUCUACUCUACAAAGUAAAUUAUAACCUCCCCUCCCUCCCGAUAGCCUAAAUAUCGCGGGAUAACGCGAUAGGGUGAGGUGGAUCGAGAAAAACGUUAAACUCUUCGCGUGGCAAAUAAUUUUCGAGAAACUACUAGGCACUGCCCAGAUCAAACCAACCGUCAUGUUUGUAACCUGGACCAGGUU